UAGCUCAUGUGUCACAUAAAAAAUCAACAAUUAAUCUACUCAACAGCCACUAUUCCGCUGCAGCCAUAGAAGCCAUGACAUGUAAACCGGCUCAUUAAUACAGUUGAACCGAACCGGUUAGAUUGAAUCCGUGUGAAUCCCUCCAUUUCCCCCCAAGAGCCAUCGAAGCCCCUGAAGCCCCACCGAGCCAUCGAAGCCCUUAACCAAACAGAGCCAUCGACGGAGGUCCCUCCCAAAACCAGAUACGCUUCGAUGUCGAAACCUACCGGCCAGUUUCCCUCCUAACGAAACUCACCGGCCCCCCAACCCCCCACCGAGCCAUCGAAGCCCCCAACCAAACGGAGCCAUCGACGGAGGUAAACCAGAUGCGCUUCGACGUCGAAACCCACCGGCCAAUUUCCCUCCCAAAAGCGAACGCCGUUCGGUGAAUGCAAAGUGGUAUGAAACGGUGAAACCCACAGGCCAGUCUCCCUCCCGAAACCCGUCGCCGUUCAGUGAAACCAAAUGCUCUCAAUGGAUUUUUCCUACCGGCCAAUCUCCCUCCCAAAACCUGUCGCCAUUCGGUGAAACCAGAUGCUCUCAAACGUGGAAACCCACCGGCCAAUGUCCCUCCCGAAACCCCACGCCGUUCGGUGAAACCAUAUGGUCUGAAACUUUGAAACCUAUCCCUGUUUUGGUCCCGAGACCCUACGCCGUUAGUCAAAACCAGAUCCUCCAUUUCAACAACCGAAACCUUCAGCACCUUGAUGCUCUGCUACGUAGCCCCUUCCUAUCACUCCCCGUUGAGAAAGGGAAAUGUAAUGUGUGAAUUUUUUGUAUGGGCGGAUAUACUUUAUCUGCUAGAAGAGAAUUUUCGUGCAAGAAAGAAUAAGGCUUCGAAGAUGUGGGAUGAUGUACUACAUCGCGAGUAUGACAUUCGGAAAAGGGAAGAUAAAGUGAGAAAGAUAGUGAAGAAUCUGAAAAAGGAAAAGCGGAAAUUGUUGUUUUUGUACUGGGUUAUGACAUUUGUAAUAGUGUUUGCUUGGUUUGGAUAAAUUCCAUGUAAACAUACUGUUGUAUAUGGAUUAGAUUAGGUGGUUUUUGAAUGGUUGGCUUGUUAAAACCAUGUUUUGAUGAACAGCAUGUACGUAAUAUGUUGCUAAGAGCAAUUGUUUAGAAUGGUAAAAAAUAUGAUGAACGUUUGUAGGUAUUUUUUCUAAAAUUAUUUUGGAAU